rnacentral:rRNA from 1 species
UACGUAGGGUGCAAGCGUUAAUCGGAAUUACUGGGCGUAAAGCGUGCGUAGGCGGUUUUGUAAGUCUGACGUGAAAUCCCCGGGCUCAACCUGGGAAUUGCGAUGGAGACUGCAAGGCUUGAAUCUGGCAGAGGGGGGUAGAAUUCCACGUGUAGCAGUGAAAUGCGUAGAGAUGUGGAGGAACACCGAUGGCGAAGGCAGCCCCCUGGGUCAAGAUUGACGCUCAUGCACGAAAGCGUGGGGAGCAAACAGG